UACAGAGGGUGCAAGCGUUAAUCGGAAUUACUGGGCGUAAAGCGUGCGUAGACGGUUAUGUAAGUCAGAUGUGAAAGCCCCGGGCUCAACCUGGGAAUUGCAUUUGAGACUGCAUAGCUAGGGUGCGGAAGAGGGAAGCGGAAUUUCCGGUGUAGCGGUGAAAUGCGUAGAUAUCAGGAGGAACACCGAUGGCGAAGGCAGGUCUCUGGGCUGACACUGACGCUCAUGCACGAAAGCGUGGGGAGCAAACAGG
rnacentral:rRNA from 1 species